UACGAAGGGGGCUAGCGUUGCUCGGAAUCACUGGGCGUAAAGCGCACGUAGGCGGCUUUUUAAGUCAGGGGUGAAAUCCUGGAGCUCAACUCCAGAACUGCCUUUGAUACUGAGAGGCUCGAGUCCGGGAGAGGUGAGUGGAACUGCGAGUGUAGAGGUGAAAUUCGUAGAUAUUCGCAAGAACACCAGUGGCGAAGGCGGCUCACUGGCCCGGUACUGACGCUGAGGUGCGAAAGCGUGGGGAGCGAACAGG
rnacentral:rRNA from 1 species